rnacentral:rRNA from 1 species
GGGAAAGAGCCCAAACCAAAGAUUUAUCUUUGGGGUUGCGGACAGAACAUUAAAGUGGAGGCUAUUGUAAUUGAAGAGUACUGGAAAGUACCACCGUAGAAGGUAAUAGUCCUGUAAGUAAAACGAGAAGACCACGAGUUCUGAUCCAGAGUACCACGAGACACGUGAAACCUUGUGGGAAGCAGGGAGGACCACCUCCCAAGGCUAAAUACUACCUGAUGACCGAUAGUGAAGCAGUACCGUGAGGGAAAGGUGAAAAGAACCCCGGGAGGGGAGUGAAAUAGAACCUGAAACCGUGUGCCUACAACCGGUCAAAGCCCCAUAUGAGGGUGAUGACGUGCUUUUUGUAGAACGAGCCAACGAGUUACGGUAUGUAGCAAGGUUAAGUACUUAAGGUACGGAGCCGAAGGGAAACCGAGUCUUAAUAGGGCGACUAGUUGCAUGCCGUAGACCCGAAACCGGGUGACCUAUCCAUGGCCAGGUUGAAGCGAGGGUAAAACUUCGUGGAGGACCGAACCACGUUGCUGUUGAAAAAGCAUGGGAUGAGCUGUGGAUAGCGGAGAAAUUCCAAUCGAACUCGGAGAUAGCUGGUUCUCCCCGAAAUAGCUUUAGGGCUAGCGUCGGAUAUGUGUAGUGGAGGUAGAGCACUGAAUGGGCUAGGGGGCAUAUCGCUUACCGAACCUUAUCAAACUCCGAAUGCCAUAUACAUUUAGUCCGGCAGUCAGACUACGAAUGAUAAGAUCCGUGGUCAAAAGGGAAACAGCCCAGAUCGUCAGCUAAGGUCCCAAAGUGUAAGUUAAGUGGAAAAGGAUGUGGGAUUUCUAAGACAACUAGGAUGUUGGCUUAGAAGCAGCCACUCAUUUAAAGAGUGCGUAAUAGCUCACUAGUCGAGAGAUCCUGCGCCGAAAAUGUCCGGGGCUCAAACUUACCACCGAAGCUACGGGCUUGCGUAAGCAAGCGGUAGGGGAGCGUCGUAAUCGGGCUGAAGUCGUACCGUAAGGAGCGGUGGACUGAUUACGAGUGAGAAUGUUGGCAUUAGUAGCGAGAUGUAGGUGAGAAUCCUACAGGCCGAAUAUCUAAGGUUUCCUCAGGAAGGCUCGUCCGCUGAGGGUUAGUCGGGACCUAAGCCGAGGCCGAAAGGCGUAGGCGAUGGACAAUCGGUUGAUAUUCCGAUACCACUACCAUCGUUAUUAUCGAGGGUGUGACGGAGAAGGAUAGUGUGUGCUAGCGAUUGGAAAUGCUAGUCUAAGCGUUUAGGGAGUUACGGUAGGCAAAUCCGCUGUAACAAUUCUGAGGCGUGAUGGGGAAGGCCAUAUAGGCCGAAGUACAUGAUUCCAUGCUUCCAAGAAAAGCAUCUAGAGAGAGAAGUAGUGCCCGUACCGCAAACCGACACAGGUAGAUGAGGAGAGAAUCCUAAGGCCGGCGGAAGAAUUGCAGUUAAGGAACUAGGCAAAUUGACCCCGUAAGUUCGCGAGAAGGGGUGCCUGCGAGAGCAGGCCGCAGAGAAUAGGCCCAAGCAACUGUUUAGCAAAAACACAGGUCUCUGCUAAAGCGUAAGCUGAUGUAUAGGG